AGAGGACAAAUUGGCUCAAGUAGUCACAAGCAGCAUGUGAGUUUUCUUUGCAUACAUCAUUCAUCAAGUUUUCUACACAUAUACACACACAUCAUUUUUUUUCUUUUGAAUUAAAAUCCAAAAACCAAAUAAACCAAAGAAACUCAACAAGAAGAUACACGUUUAACACACACGCAUCACACAUAUCAUCAAUUCAUUAUACAACUUUCUCUUACAAACUCAAAUUCAUUUUUCAAUCAUAAAGAAACAUAAAUUAAUUCAAUCAUAACCUUUGAAUCCUCAUAUUUUUCACACGGAUCACCAAUAGUUAAACAUCAACCUCUCUUUCUCCAAUUCUAAUCUCUCUAAUUUUUCACAAACUCCCUCCUAAACUUUCAACCUCACAACAUAAUUUUCCCUCUUUUUUUUUCUUCUAUAAAUCAACUUGUUUCACCUCUAAAAAAAAUUAACAACCACCAUCCCUAAACUCUGUCAAAAUCAAUCCUUACAUUCACUCAAAAAAGCUUUCAUCAGAAGCUGCUCAGAGCUUCACCUUGAAGCUCUUAGAUAGCUCGAGCUUAGCCAUGCAUACAAAUCAACAACUAACACACAGUGGAAAACAAAAAGAGGCGGAGAGAAGAAUAGUAACAGAAGAAGAAGAGGUGCAGAAAAGAAAGUCAUACAUGGAUGAUCCGCCGCCGAACUACCUCUGGGAGCUUAGAAGAUAGAAUCGUGUUGAGGGAUGAAAACUGGUGGGACCAGUAUUUUUGGUGGUUUCGGUCACCCUCGUCGGAGCUUACGGCAAUUGGGGCUACUUUUCUGCGCAAACAAUGAGAAAAGUGAGUGGAAAAUAAGGCGUACGGAGUUGUUGUGGUUUUCUAUUUUCUUUUUCGUUCCAUUACACAUUAAUAACCAGCGACCUUUUGUUUUAUUAUUUUUAAUUCAUGUGUCAUGUGUCAUCUUAUAAUAUGGUGAUUUUUUUUCCAAAGGCAAGAUGUAGUCAAAGCUUGUUUGUUGGCUGAAGGAGGGUUGAUAGGGGACGCCCCAUCCCCUAUUUUUUAGUCUUUUUUCUUUUUUCUUUUUUCUUUUUAUUAAUUAUUUAACCUUUUAAUUAGGGUUUAAGUGUUUUGGGCCUUUUGAGCUUUAUUGCUCAUACACGUACUUUCAAACUUUUUUAACACUCUUUUUGUUUUAUUUGUCU